rnacentral:tmRNA from 1 species
UACGCCAUGGCUGCCUAAUCGGAAUGAUUAAGUAAUUGCCAUCUACCCCGAAUGUCUCUAUCUGAGCCGAUGUUCGUCAGGGGUAGUCGACCCGCUCAGGUACGUCCCUCAAGUGCCAAUGCAGGGGAUGCUUACAAAGUUGGAUAAGGAGCGACGUUGGCCAGGGUAGAGCCGGCCCGUUCCCGAAAACCAAUCUAACCCUAAACAUGUAGAAAGCGCUAGUGAUCGCAUCGCCGGACGGGGGUUCGAUUCCCCCCAAUUCCACAA